rnacentral:rRNA from 1 species
GAUGAACGCUGGCGGCGUGCCUAAUACAUGCAAGUCGAGCGAACAGAUGAGGAGCUGGUUCCUUUCACGUUAGCGGCGCACGUGAGAGUCACACGUGGAUAACCUACCUAUCAUACUGGGAUAACUACGGGAAACCGGCUCUAAUCCGGGAUAAUAUAUUUAACCGUAUGGUUCAAUAGUGAUUGACGGUUUUGCUGUCACUUCUAGAUGGAUCCGCGCCGCAGUAGGUAGUUGGUAAGGUAACGGCUUACCAAGGCGACGAUGCGUACCCGACCUGAGAGGGUGAUCGGCCACACUGGAUCGUAGACCCAGUCCAGGCUCCUGCGGGAGGCCACAGUAGGGCAUCUGCCGCAAGGGGCGAAAGCCUGACAGUGCAACCACGCGUGAGGCAUGAAGGUCGUCUGAUCGUAAAACUCUGUUAUGAGGGAAGCACAAAUGUGUAAGUACCUAUGGACGUCGUGACGGUACCUGGUCAGAAAGCCACGGCUAACUACGUG